AAAUGUCUGACCUGAAAUGAGCAUGUGGACACAUUUAGCGCUGAAUAACCCUGUGACAAACAACUCUGAGGGGAAUUUAAUGGCAUUUUAUGUUCUAAUAAGAGUGGUUUUUUUGUUCCAGCUACGGGGUGCAUAUUUUAGUCUGGACAGCUGUUUGGGUCCAGAUUGAGGAUACCUUUUUAAAAAAGGUAAUUUGAUUUACUCAUUUUGAUGUGUUGACAAGCAAGAUGCUGUUGGUGAUGACUUUUAAAAUAAAACAGAUGGGAAUCUCUCUGAAAAAAUGUGA
rnacentral:lncRNA from 1 species